UACGUAGGGUGCGAGCGUUGUCCGGAAUUAUUGGGCGUAAAGGGCUCGUAGGCGGUUUGUCGCGUCGGGAGUGAAAACACCGGGCUUAACUCGGUGCUUGCUUCCGAUACGGGCAGACUAGAGGCAUGCAGGGGAGAACGGAAUUCCUGGUGUAGCGGUGAAAUGCGCAGAUAUCAGGAGGAACACCGGUGGCGAAGGCGGUUCUCUGGGCAUGUCCUGACGCUGAGGAGCGAAAGUGUGGGAGCGAACGGG
rnacentral:rRNA from 1 species